rnacentral:tRNA from 1 species
UGAGGUAUCUCAGUGAUAGAGUACUUGUCUAGAAUGUGCAAGGAUCUAGGUUCAAUCCCUAGUGCCACAA